UAAAAUAUUAAAAUAUAAUAACGUAGGUACGUACUUACAACAUAUUUUUUUUGAAUAAGUAUCUAUAAAAGGUACCGGCUAAUUUUGGUAACCUUUUUAUUAAUAUAACUUAUCUAAAACUUUUUAUUAGAUAGGUAUAAUAGGUUUGAAUAGAUAGGUUAUAAACAUCAUAGAGAUAGGUUUAUGGUAAACAUUGAAAUAUAAAUAUUAUAAUAUUUCGAUGUUUGAGUAUGACGUGUUCCAUACCUAAUAAUACUCGUAUUUAGGUAAGUAUUUUAAUUAUUGUGGACCGUAUGUAUGUGUUACUGUUACUGUAAAAGCUCAGCCUGCGAUAUAUUCUAAGAUUUUCAAAUUAUGCCCAAGGUUUACCCAGGCUUUUUAAGACUCUGACUGUAAAAUCUGAAAUACCUAAGUGAUCGUUAAUUUCGAACUGUUUUUAUCAGUUUUCUUGACAGACACGACGAACGGACGGCCGGACAGGCAGACAGACAACAAAGUACGGAACCCUAAAAACGAGCUACGCCAUCCCUUCAAUAUGCUUCUACUCGCUUCUACUCUCGUUUCGUUACGAAUGUCGCCGGCUCGCUUCUCUCGCCACCUCCACCGUAGACCGAGCUUUUACAGUUGUAAUAAACCAGUGGUGUAAGCACACACUUCAAUUUGCCUUGUGAUGUAAAAUUUUUGUACUGUGCCGGUUGGAGAUAACAUGUAUUUUAUUCUUAUAAUUAUAUGGUUCUGAGAUUGAAAAAUUAGAAAAAAAUUAAUUCAUAAAUGUAAAUAUUUUACAAGAACUGGUUCGCAGGUAGGAAAAUACAAGUAUAAAAUGCUUAAAAUUACUUAAACAAGAGAGUUUCUCAGUCAUUUGUAAUUAGGUAGGUAUACCUAGUUAACUAGGUACUUAUCUACCUACAUAUUAUUUAGUGGGCAUUAUUAUGUAAAAAAACAACAUUUCGACGGUAAGUAUGUAAGAUAGGAGUUAAUAUUUUGGGAAUCUUGUAAAACGUAGGUAGGUACCUAUAAUAAUAUUGGAACAUUGUAUCUUGAGGUACCUACUUUACUCGACUAUACAAUAUCUACUCAUGUGCCCAUAGUGCCCAAUUCUUCUUUAGUUAUUAUAUAGCUGCAUUAAAGUUUGCGUUUUGUAUUUUUAUUAGGUACUAGA